rnacentral:rRNA from 1 species
GACGAACGCUGGCGGCGUGCCUAAUACAUGCAAGUAGAACGCACAGUUUAUACCGUAGCUUGCUACACCAUAAACUGUGAGUUGCGAACGGGUGAGUAACGCGUAGGUAACCUGCCUGGUAGCGGGGGAUAACUAUUGGAAACGAUAGCUAAUACCGCAUAAUAUUGAUUAUUGCAUGAUAAUUGAUUGAAAGAUGCUAUUGCAUCACUACCAGAUGGACCCGCGUUGCAUUAGCUAGUAGGUGAGGUAACGGCUCACCUAGGCGACGAUACAUAGCCGACCUGAGAGGGUGGUCGGCCACACUGGGACUGAGACACGGCCCAGACUCCUACGGGAGGCAGCAGUAGGGAAUCUUCGGCAAUGGACGAAAGUCUGACCGAGCAACGCCGCGUGAGUGAAGAAGGUUUUCGGAUCGUAAAGCUCUGUUGUAAGAGAAGAACGGGUGUGAGAGUGGAAAGUUCACACUGUGACGGUAUCUUACCAGAAAGGGACGGCUAACUACGUG